AGCCGCGGGAGCAGGUGCCUGUGUGCAGCCGCGUCUGGGCCCGUAGGUGUGAGAGGCUGGUGUCCCCAGGUCCACACAGGAGCCCUGACCCCCAGGGUGGCUGCACUUGCAGGUGACUGAGGUCAGAGGAGGUUGUAAGGGGAGGGCCUGGCCCCACACGACUGGCCUUGUUGCAAGAAGAGACCCCAGGAGAACCAGAGGGCCGGCCGGCCAUGUGAAGACAUGGCAGGUGGCCACCUGCCCGCCAAGGACGCCACAAGGAACAGCCUGGCUGACACCCGGUGUGGGAGCCCAGGCGGGGCUGGGGCAGAAGCACCUCAUCCAGGCCCCAUCCCUGCUCCCAGGCUGGCCGGCCAGACCCAGCCGUGCCGCCGAGUGGGUCCGCCCUCUCCGGGCAGCAGGGUGCAGCCCGGGAGCAUGUGUGGGCUGUGUCCCUGUGUGCAUGGCGUGUCACUGGCCCACGUGCUAGAGCGUGUGGCUGCUCCAGGAGCCCUGGUCGAGGGCGAGCCCCAGCUCCCCGAACAGAGAAGACGGACGGCCCAGCGACUGUCCCGGGAGCACGUGGUGGCCUCCGACAGGGCCUGUGCAGCCCCAGGACAGGUGGGCACCAGGUGUGUAAAGGUGGAGAGAGCACACACGUACACACGCAUGCACACGUGCAUGCACCACGCACACGUGCGCACACACACACAGAUCUGGCAUCGCAGGGCGCCGGCGGCUGGGGCGGCACGGCUGGUUGUUUUGUACCUUUUAAGUCGUGCCGUGGCCCAGGCUUACCUACUCGACAGCUAAUUUAAGGAGUUUCCCAGAGAGGAGCCUCCCACAGGACGAGGCCCGGAAAGUCCCUCCUGCCGGCAGCUCAGGUAGCAGCAGUUCCCGGCCCACCUGCGGGAAAGUCCCCAGGCCACGGCCGCGAGGCUCAGCCCUCCGGAGCCUCUGAGGGAGAAGGUCCCCACGGAGAGGGCAGCCUGGUGUCAACUCGCCCCUUCCUCGGUGGCAGCCCAGCCCCAAGCUGCUCGGAAGUGGGCCCUGUGGCAAGGGCUGGUCACAUGGCUGCUCCGGGCGCCCUCUGCUCUGAAGUGGAACCUUCACAGGCCAAGCCACCCAGCUGGCCAGAAAGCCGUGCCCUGAGGUACCACAGCCAUGAGGAGGGGCCAGCGGUGGAUGGGGUGCUGGGGGCGCCCACAUGCCAGGUGUGUGGGUCAGGGGCCUGCAGUCACAGUCUCAGAGCCUGAUCCCCCCACACACACACCAGCCAGAGCACAGGGCACGCUGACCCUAGCAAGGUCUGGACAGCUAGUGCCACAGGGUGGACAGCAGACGACAAGCUGGCCCAUAGCGGCCGCAAGGCGCCUCUCCCCUAAAGCAGAGCCCAGGGCUCAGCCUUAGAUGUCCCCCAACCUCGACUCCCAUUUCCUCCUGGCCCCUCACGGGCGGUUCCCGGACCUGCCUCCCUCUCCCUGGCGUGGCCCCCAUCCUGUCGUGGUUCCUGCACAGGACACCCCACUCCAACCCAGGGUUCUAACCAACCCCCACCUCAAAGCUCAAGGGAAGCCACCUGGCCACAGAUGUUCCAAGCUACCGUUUAUGCGUUUUUGUCCCCCCAGAAAAUGAAGCUGGAAGGAAGACAGACUACACUUUAAAUAAUGAGUGUGGCUCUGGCCGCAGGUCCGUGACUCUUGGGGACGGAGGGCAGCUCUGGCGCCGCCUGGGGCCGCGCUGAUCCCCACGGAA